rnacentral:rRNA from 1 species
UACGUAGGGGGCUAGCGUUAUCCGGAAUUACUGGGCGUAAAGGGUGCGUAUGCGGUCUUUCAAGCCAGAAGUGAAAGGCUACGGCUCAACCGUAGUAAGCUUUUGGAACUGUAAGACUUGAGUGCAGGAGAGGAGAGUGGAAUUCCUAGUGUAGCGGUGAAAUGCGUAGAUAUUAGGAGGAACACCAGUGGCGAAGGCGGCUUCCUGGUCUGUAACUGACACUGAGGCGCGAAAGCGUGGGGAGCAAACAGGAUUAGAUACCCCCGUAGUCCCUGA